rnacentral:rRNA from 1 species
UACGAGGGGGGCAAGUGUUGUUCGGAAUUACUGGGCGUAAAGGGUGCGUAGGCGGCCCGUUAAGUCAGUGGUGAAAGCCUCCAGCUCAACUGGAGAACUGCCAUUGAUACUGACGGGCUUGAGUACAGACGAGGUUGGCGGAAUUGAUUGUGUGGCGGUGAAAUGCAUAGAUACAAUCAAGAACACCGAUUGCGUAGGCAGCUAACUAGGCUGUAACUGACGCUGAGGCACGAAAGCGUGGGGAGCGAACAGG